rnacentral:rRNA from 1 species
UGGAAGUAAAAAGUCGUAACAAGGUCUCCGUUGGUGAACCAGCGGAGGGAUCAUUACAGAGUUGCAAAACUCCAAACCAUUGUGAACUUACCUUUGCCGUUGCUUCGGCGGGCGGCCCGGGCCCUGUGCCCGGCGCCCCUCGGCCCCACUCGGGGCGCCCGCCGGAGGUAAACCAAACUCUUGAAUUGUAUGGCCUCUCUGAGUCUUCUGUACUGAAUAAGUCAAAACUUUCAACAACGGAUCUCUUGGUUCUGGCAUCGAUGAAGAACGCAGCGAAAUGCGAUAAGUAAUGUGAAUUGCAGAAUUCAGUGAAUCAUCGAAUCUUUGAACGCACAUUGCGCCCGCCAGUAUUCUGGCGGGCAUGCCUGUUCGAGCGUCAUUUCAACCAUCAAGCCCCGGGCUUGUGUUGGGGACCUGCGGCUGCCGCAGGCCCUGAAAACCAGUGGCGGGCUCGCUAGUCACUCCGAGCGUAGUAGUUUACACCUCGCUCAGGGCGUGCUGCGGGUUCCGGCCGUUAAAAGCCUUAUUUUACCCAAGGUUGACCUCGGAUCAGGUAGGAAGACCCGCUGAACUUAAGCAUAUCAAUAAGCGGAGGAA